rnacentral:rRNA from 1 species
GACGAACGCUGGCGGCGUGCUUAACACAUGCAAGUCGAACGGAAAGGCCCCUUUGGGGGUACUCGCGUGGCGGACGGGUGAGUAACACGUGCGUAACCUGCCCUUGCCUUCGGGAUAACUUCAGGAAACUGGGGCUAAUACCGGAUAGGAAUCCUUGCUUCAUGCUGGGGGUUGGAAAGCUUGGGCGGUUUGGGAUGGACUCACGGCUUAUCAGUUGGUUGGUGGGGUAGUGGCUUACCAAGGCUUGGAGGGGUGGCCGGCCUGGGAGGGCGACGGGCCACUUUGGGACGGGGAUACGGCCAGACCCCUACGGGGGGGAAGCGGGGGGAAAAAUGGACAAAGGGCGGGAGGCCGAUGCAACAAAGCCGGGUGGGGGGUGACCGGCUUCGGGUUGUAAACCGCCUUCAGCAGGGGCGAAGCUUGUGGUGACGGUACCUGCAGAAGAAGCACCGGCUAACUACGUG